rnacentral:rRNA from 1 species
UACGUAGGGGGCAAGCGUUGUCCGGAUUUAUUGGGCGUAAAGAGCUCGUAGGUGGUUCGGUAAGUCGGAUGUGAAAUCUCCAGGCUCAACCUGGAGGGGUCAUUCGAUACUGCCGUGACUAGAGGUCGGUAGGGGAGUGUGGAAUUCCUGGUGGAGCGGUGAAAUGCGCAGAUAUCAGGAGGAACACCCGUAGCGAAGGCGGGUCUCUGGGCCGAUACUGACGCUGAGGAGCGAAAGCGUGGGGAGCGAACAGG